rnacentral:tRNA from 1 species
GGGGAUAUAGCUCAGUUGGUAGAGUGAGUGCUUUGCAUGUACCAGGCCCUGGGUUCAAUCCCCAGCACCA